GCCUCCUCUGGCAGCCUCCUGCCUCCGUCUCCAGCUUCGGAUGAUGCGAUCAAGUCUAGUGAAAAGCUCAGAGUAUCAAGUAGCACUAAACCCCUACGCCUUACUUCUCUCUCUCUCUCUCUUUCUGUGUUUCCCCCCUCCCUCCCCCUGUAAUAAGAGUAUUUGUCUAAUCCCAAAUUGCAGGCGAAUUUCCUUAAUGCUCAGCCCAUAAAACCCAUGGAUUAAGGGCAGGAAAGGGGGGCACGAGGAACUCUCAGAGUCAGGGAGACACGGACACAAAAAAGUUUAGUAUGUGGCGGGGGAGACGCGGAAGAUGCGGGUCUCGCUAUUUUUCCUCUCUCUCUCCUGCAAACCUUCAGGUGCGGAGAGACUAAACCGGCAGCGGUCGCAGACUCGCAGGAGGAAGCCGAGGCGAUCUUGGCCGCAGGUUCGGGGCGCGCAGAAAGGCGGCCCAAGGCUCUUUGCCUCUUUCUCGAGACACCCGCUUGGAAAGAACUUCUCCAGUCCGGCGCUGCUCCCCCGCCCCGGCCUGGUCGGCACCUUUGGGGAAGCAGCUGGCGUCGAGCAGGGGCUCCCACUCAGGUGGCCCUAACUUGGCAGGCGCAGGUUUUGUAAGAAAAGGAGACCACCAGAGUUAUGCUGUUGGAAAUGUCUCACACUGGGCACCAGAUGCUUCAGAAUAACUUUAAAAGUAAGUAUCAGAUAAUCAGCAUUUUUCUUUGAGGUAAAAACACAUCUGCUAGACAGUAUUACACAGCUUCUUCCAUAGUUGUUCAGACUGUUUGGCAGCUUGCGUAAUAGCUGAAUCUUAGGCCUUUAUCUAGGAAACAAUUCCAAAUUUGGUUGUUGUUGAAGUUUUUUUUAAAAAAGGUGGAGUACAGAUCUACACUCAUUUCUUUCACUUCUUCAGUUUUGCUUUAGUUUGUUAUUCAAAGCUGCUGCAGAAAGAGGGAGGCUCUCUCAUACAGGUAUUUCCUUUUGGUGUUGUAUUGUCUCUUACUUUUUAUAAGGCAGUGUUUCAUUAAAAAGGGCACAUUUAACACUGGAGCCCUCCUCAAGCUCUGAACCAACUGCUCUCCAGGCCAGACUGCAAGGGCCUGCACCUGUCAAUCAACCUCCAGUCUGCCCCGCCUCCCUCAUUAGGAAGGUAAACAAUGAAAAGAAGGAGAAAUAGAUGAUGAAGGAGAUAGCAGAACAAAUGAGAGGGAAACAGGACACUGGCUUUAAAAGAAAACUCCAUCACUUCUGACUCAUGUGGUGUCCUCUCCUCAAUCAACUUUCUAAAAAACAACAACCAACAACACAAAAAACCAGAGGCAAGACAGUGCAACCCUUUCGGAUUUCUCUCUCCUCUCUCCAUUGCCCUGGGCAAUCAUGUUAAAACUCACAUGGCUGGUGCUUAUUCAGAUAAACCUAACAAUGCACACCAAUGGUUACCAUGUGAAUCUUCACAAACCACACAAGAAUGUGCUGGUUCAAAUCCCCCUGACCCCCCUCCAAAGCAAAAUUUAUUCAAGGCAGCAAACUGUUCAGAAGCUUUAUGAAAGCAAGUGGUGCUAGAGUGAAUUCAGUCUUGUAUUUACAAAUUAAAAAUGAGAUGCAGGCUCAUCCAAUAAAGGUUAGAACAGCAGUAAAAAGCCAUUCCUUAAAUUGCCUCCCCAAUAUACACAGUAUAUGCAGACUAACAGUGACAUAGAGGAAAUAUACUCCCUCACACACAGCUGCAGAAAACAACAAAUCUAUCUGUAAAAACUACAUCCUGGACACUGUGUUUACAUGAAAGGACUCCAACAAAGUUUUCAGCAUAUUUUUGUUGUUGCCACUACUGUAUUUAUUUAAUAACAGCAUUUACAGGCUGCCCAGUAGCAGAUGAUUUCUACUAGUAAUGAUAUACCUACAUUUCAACAACAAUAGUUAGCACCAAAAGUCUGAAAGGCACCAACUCCCUCUGCUUUCAAAAAUAUGCCUAAUUUCUUAGCUGUUCAUAAUUUGUUGAGAUCUUACACUUGAAUGCAUGUAUUCAGAGUGGCAAAAUAAAGCAAAAGCACGUGUCAUUUAUGGCUUAAAUAUAACAAUUCUCCAAAAACAAUACGAUACAAUUCUCUAAGAGUCCCAAACAUAUUGUUUGAAAUAAAUUUCUUUUAUAGGGCAAAUGAUCCCAUGAUACUUGGGCUGCAACCCUACACACACUUAGUAAGGUGUGAGCCCUAUUGAACUCAGUGGGAUUUCUAAAUCCACAUGCACAGGAUUGUACUGCUAAGGUUUGCUAAUUAAAAUAGUAAACAACCAGACAUGAAUGCUCAUUUCCUAUUUCCAAAAUUUAAAAAGUCAAGAAACUUAACCACUAUUAUAUGUAGGAGCAACCUUACUUAUAUCAGUUCAUGUGAAGGCUAUUUAAUGUAGUGCAAGUAGAUAUACGUAUUGGCCAACAAAGUCCUCUAGUCCUCAAUCUUUUUUUAUUCUGGUCUAGUCUGUGAAUAAUAAUGGCAGUAAUCCUUCUGAUUACGUUUUCUAUUAUACCCAAAGAUUCAAAAUAAAAGAAGACUGUAAGUUCUGUUGUUUCCAAUGGGACUUUUUAAAAAAGUAAAAGCUACGAAUCACAGCCUCCAGUAACUUUUGCUCCCACCUAAACACAUUUAUUAGGAAAUAGUUGAACUCAUUUAGUCUUGGAGUGCUCCAGUUACACGUUCUGAAGUUUGGAAAUUAAAGAAAAUCAUUCACUGCACCACCUGACUACAGCAAGCAAGCAAACCCAUAUGAAGCUUGUUCUGUAAAGUAAGUUAAGAUUUAGUUAAAUUCAAAAAGCAGACCGGUCUCCACAAAGGAAAUGGUUUUUGAAACUUAGAGCAGUUUGUUAUAUGCUGCAGACACCAGCCAUUUAAAGAAAGAAACAGCCACCAAAAUUUUCACUGGGUGAAAGCAAGCUGCUUAUGUGAAUCUAAAGAGUUAUUUGGAGCCUAAUAUGCUGACAUUCUUAUAUGGUGAACAAAAGCAAGAUGCAUAGAAAUUAUAUUAAUCACAGGCUUUUUCUUAACAAAAAAACUUGCUCUGGUCGUUUAUUAUCUGCAGCUCAGCUAGACCCAACACGCAUUACUUUGUUAAGAAAUGGUUUUAGAGCUGCCAUUCUAAGGAAGUUCCCUUGAAAUCAAUGUGAUUACUCCCAUAAGCAUGGGUUUAAGGACCAGUAUAUAGAUUGGCUUAAAUCUAAGUACUGGGGAACAUUGUUUCUUCUGUCACUGGCAAAAACAAAUUUUUAAAAGAAGGAUAUAGAUUUCAAAAUUUUAUACAGAAUAAAAACCUGCAAAAACUAAAGUAUGCAGGGCUUCUUUUUCUGAAUCAGUUACUAUUUAUUUUCUUUAAAAGGAGAUAAUUAGUUUGGGAAAAGAAAACACAUAUUGGUAUUCUAGCAGAAAUAUACUCCAGUAUAUUGAAAAUGACCGAAGUUCUAUAAUAAAAAUUCCUUAAAUCUUGUCACUAUAAAAUAAGCCUUGCAACUUUUGAUGAAAAUUAACACUCGUUUUGUAAAGAGCACAUUGGGGGAUUGCAGUCAAAGCCUUAUCUUUAGUUCCAGUCAACUAGCAAUCCUGAAAGAGUUUGCAUCAUCAUCAGAGGAAGCCAUUUGAUAGGAUUCUACUGCUGAACCUAAUCAAUCUAUGGAAUACUGUGGCAGCGCCGUGUAACAAAGCUAAAAUAGAUUUACAAAUGGGGUUUUAGGGGAUAAGCUCCUCCACAGGAUUACAUAUUGAUUUUAAAUAUAAAAGCUUAUCAUAUAAACCAUAACUACAAAAAUAGUGAACCUAUGCAUAAAUCCUUUUAAGAAGAGCACCCACUUCAAACUCGAAGCCAAGAAUGAAUCAAGAUGUACACAUUUCUAAAGGAGAUCUAUUUGUUGGGUAGAAAAAUGAACACACGCCACUCCUAAGGUGUGUAAAACAUGAACUUCAGCUGUUCUAAGGAGGCAUUAAAUUUUAACAAGUGGCGCAAUGCAUGCAAGAAGGUGGCUGGAACCCAAAGCUCCUCAAUACUCAGCUGGUGACUACUCUAUGUUUAUACUUUGUUUUCAUGAGACAGCCUUAUUCUGCAUUGGUUUUCGGGUCCCUUUAGCUUCACAAUAAGAUAUUUGAGGGGGCUAGCCAGUCAACCUCAAAGAGCUAUUUUGGUGAUUAAAAAUGGGGUGAGGCAUGGGGGGGAAUAAACAGUUUCACCAGCACUAGGUACCUCCGUUGCUAGGAUCGGGGCUGAGAUUUAUCUGCCCCCCCCCAAUAUUUUAUUCAAGUUGGUGCUCCUGAUCAUCAAGAAAUAUGUGCUGUCGUUUUCUUUCAACACGUAACCAGAUUAUAUGUUGACCUGUGGCUUAUGCUGGGAUGGCAGUACUGCUUGUAAAAAUAAGAAUAUAUGGCCAAAAGAAAACCAGAAUGUGGUUGGUCAGGCCUGUAUUCUGUGUGAAAAGCUUCAACACCCCAAAAUGAUGUUCUAUUGCAAACGUCUCCAUUUUAAUCACUGGCUUACAGGUUCACUGAGACUGCAAUCCUAUGUACACUCACUUGGAAGUAAGCCACAACUGGAUUCAAUGGGGUUGUGUGAUUGUGUGUGACUGGAGUUGGUUUAAGACUGUGAAUGCAUCCCACAGAAACCAAACCUGUCCUUGGAUAUACAUCUGAUUAUAUCUGCCAUUCAGAUAAGUUUCCAUCUAUAUCCAUAGAGUGGGGUGCAAAAUUCCAUGGAAAUAAGGCAUUCCCUGCCUCCAGUGUUUCUCUCUGUUAGUUGUGUUACAGGGUUGAAUGAAGAAAACAUGUAAUCAGCAUCUCAGGAAUUGCUAAGACUUGUUUCAGUUUAGGGUGAAAUGCACCAAAAGCACAAAGUUGCACAGCUGCCUCUCUCCUUACACUCUACCCCAGUCCCGCAGAAAGCAAACUCCUUGGGACCGUGGGGCUUCGGUCCCCACAAUAAAAUAUUUGAGGGGGCCAGGCCUCCACAAAGUUGAUGGGCAUUCCCAUUCAAAUGGUGUAUGUGCACAGUGUCAUUUGAUCAAUUAUGUGGGCUUACCUGGGCCCCCACAAUAUUUUAUUCAAGUUGCCCUGUCCCUCGGAUCAAUGGAUGAAACCAUCUGUUGAUGGCGCCACAUGCCACGGCAAUAAAGCAUGCUGUGACUUGAGCAGGUGCUUUUAGUGCUGUGGCACCAGUUCUCUGAAAUUUCUUCCCUUAGAAGUGAAACAAGCCCCAAUUUUGUGGUUUCAAUGUUUGUUGAAGAUGUUGCUUAAAACUAGUGUAUUUUAUUUCUGGAGUUUCAAAUUCUUGUUGGCUUUUUUGUUUUAACACUGUUAAAACACCUGUGUUGUAUUUUAUAUUCUAUUUAUGUAUCUAACUUUUUAUAUUGGUUUAAUGUUUAAUUGUACAGUACUGUGUUUCAUAUUUUUAUAUUUUAUUGUCAGGUAGAGUUGGUUUUUACUCAUCACUUUAUGGAGAAGUGCCUCAAAAAGUGGGGUAUGCCGUUUAAAAGAAAAAAUAUAAAAAUAGUGUAUGGAGUGAUAAGCCAAACCAUGGCUUAGCGUGAGUGAGCAAGCAAGCAAGCAGGCAGAUACUCCAGUCCUACUGCUUCUUUGCUGCCUGGAGCCAUGGUUUGGCUUAGCUUCAAACAAACUAUGAGCUGUAGACAAGGUUUCUUCUUGGCUUACUGCUUAUGGUUUGUUUGUUUGUUUGUUUGUUUGGUGUGUGUGUGUUUUUUUGGGGGGGGAGUACAAAUCAGAUAUAAUGCUAAAUCAUAGCUUAGUUCUGGGGAUCAUGGCAGCAGCAGAACUGGAGGAUGAGCAAAGUGGCUGCAAUUUUUGAAGGGACCACCUUUGUUUAUGCUUGUGCAACUGGGCCAAUGUUACAUUUAUGCUGCAGAUGGACAACCCACUUAAUAUAUUCAGAACAGCACCAUUAACCUGUUAAACUAGAUCAGGGGUCAGCAACCUAAGGCCCAUGGGCCCCAAGCGGCCCACGGGGGUUGUUUUAUCGGCCCCCAAACCGAGCCACCCUCUUGGCAAGUCCUCGCGCGCUGCGCUAAACCGAAACAGCGCAGCAUGGGGACUUGCUUCUGCAGUGCCAGAAAUCGUGUCUGUGUAGAUGCAGACACCGGAAAUCGCAGGUGCGCCCACUCAUGCGCCCCCACCCACAAUCCAGCCCACGGAGGGGGCUCCGCGGCAGUGAACUGGGCCAGGCAAGGUAAGGCUUGCUGACCCCUGAAAUAAAUGAAACAUAACUAAGAGUAACUUAAGAGGAUCUUGGUGGCAGAAGGGGAGUGGGUAACUUUGAGAAUCUAGCAGUUAAUAUAAAUAACAUUUAAAUGUUAAGGCAUAAACAACAACACUAUUCAACUUUUGAAAAGCCCUCCAGAUGUUGUUGCUGAUGUCAUUAUUAAUACCAAUUAUUGUAAUGAUGUCUCUAGUACAUAUUUUUAAAAAGAAAAAUAUGUUUUGCUGUUUUCAGGCCUGCAUAAACCUGCUUCAUGUCCUUCAAAAGCUAACUCAGUGUUACUUCACACUUUUACUUAAGAAGCCCCCAAACUUCAAAGACUUAGAAGUCUCCCAAAAGACACCUUCUAGAUGCCUGGGCCCAAAGUUUUAUUUUCUUUUGAACAUUUUGUUAUUGUUGCUGUCAAAUCCCUCUUUAAAAAGCAAUAAACAUGUUAAGGGUUUAUAUUUUUUCAGGAUUCCUGUAAUUCUUGAGUUUUGUCAAAAAGCUACAAAGAGGUGGAUUAGAAAGCUACCUGACACCUCACGCCUUUUCCUCCCAAACUCAUGCUUUCAGUGAUGUCUCUAAACUAAUUAGAAUUGAUUCAUUAUGGAUCAGGUACCUUAUCAGGUGAAGAAAGAAAUUACCAUGGACAGUCAAAGGGUUAAGAGGUCAAUACAGAAUAGCAAAAUCAAUUUGCAUUGAUUAGACAAAAGGUCCAUUUUACAGAGCCCAGAGGAUUAACUUUUAAGCAAACAUCUUUGAACUGUAAAGGCAGAAUAUGUGGCUGCAAACUAUAAGUAGAACAGCUUUAUAAAGAAACCUAGCAUAUUUAAAUAACAAAAUAAGGUAAAGCAGUAGUUUAACCUAUCUGGAUGUUUACUUUUAUUAUAAAUCAUCCUUUGGAUUAUUGUACAGCAUUAGGAAGAGGAGACCAUUGUUUAUCCCUUAUGUCAAUCUGCUCAUGAGUAUUCAUUCCAGUGAAGUGAGUGGCUGCUUAGAAAGAUACAGAGAAUCAAGAAAAUAUACGUGCAAAGGGUUGCACUAAUGCUGUCAUUUUCUCUGAAAAAAAUGUUUUACUUGACAUGUGCAUGAUAUUUUUAUAAUGAAGAUGGGUGGGGUCUAUUUUUUCUAUGGAAGUUGCGAACAAAUAUUUAAGAUGUAAAAAUAAUUAAUCUGAUGUGUCAUUUCUUCUAUUUUUGCACUGAGGCAAAACGAGUGCUGUGUGUCAGAGCUUAUGCUACUUAAAGAAAUAAAUAAACGAAAAGUUCCAAAUUGAUCUAGAAGGGGUCACACAGCAUUUUUGGUUUGCAUCUAAAAGCAGAAUACUUUCACAGACAGAAGCCUAAACAUUCAAAACAUUUCUUACCUUCAAUGGCAAGCAUUGCUCUCAGCUCCCUGUUCAACAGUUCGUACCGCCUCUCUAGGUCAUGUUCCUUUUCCCUAGGCAAGUUGCAAAAGUUCAUCAAUAUGUUAAUUACUAAAUCAUUAAACGUUUAAAAGAACCUUUAAUUUACAUUGAUUUUUUGGACUCAGUUAGGACUAUAGGUUUAAGCUACUCUAAAUAAAUGAUACACGAGAACAAAGGAUUAAGAAGUAGCAUUGCUGGAUGAACGUUCAGCAAAGGCCUGGAUGGUGCUGAGGAGGCUGGGUCUCCUUGUGGGUCGCUGGGCAAGAGAAGCAGAGCAGGAAAAUCCUGGGUGCAUUCCUAAGGUGGUCUGAGGAGCAGGGGAGAGCUCGAUCCCUAUAUUUAAGGGACAAGCUGACUUCCCUCCAGCGGUUCUCAACCUGUGGGUCCCCAGAUGUUGCUGGACUACAACUCCCAUCUUC